UUUUGCUCUUUUGACAUUCUUUUGAUAGACUGUUCCAUAUGCCAGUCUGAUAGGCUGAUUAAGGAAAGGGUGGAGACUGUUGCCCUUUAAGAGCACGCUUGGAAAUGGUAAUGGGGUGGUUGUCCUAUUGGAAGACGCUCAGUCACGUGCUGGUACGGCGGAAACAGUCCGUUUGGUGGUAGAGCUGGGGUACGCCGGUGCUGACGUUGGAGAGAGCGCGAGUGAUUCGAGGUGCAGUGAACACAACGGCUUCGCAGAGUAUUCCAUUUACAACGCUGGAAUUCAUCUGGACUGGGUAGUGAAAAUCGCUACCCGGUCAUAUUUCUACUGCUGACACGAUUCUGUGGAUGGCCCUGGCACUGCAGGACUGAAACAAGAUUGUUGCUCUGACCCAAAGGGAAUUGGACUGCUCCCAAGGACCAUUUCUUGCUGUAUUUAUCAUCCAAAUAAAGCUUCCUACUACGUUCUCCUAUAGACUGAACAAUCUUGCUGCAUCCU